rnacentral:rRNA from 1 species
AUAACACGGAGAGUUUGAUCCUGGCUCAGGACAAACGCUGGCGGCAUGCCUAACACAUGCAAGUCGAACGGACGGAGGAAAGAGACCUCUUCGGAGUGACCUUUCCCGAGUUAGUGGCGGAUGGGUGAGUAACGCGUGAGUGACCUGCCCAGCAGUGGGGAAUAACAGUGAGAAAUCAUUGCUAAUACCGCAUAUCUUACAAGUGCUUCAUGGUACCUGUAAGAAAGACGGCCUUCGU